AGAAAUGAGGAUUGGGGCUACGAUGCGAGUGAGAGACGCUGUGCGUAGUACGAUAGGUUUAGGCGAUAUGCCGACGUAGCAUUAUGACCGCUGGUCCACCCGUGAAAGCCGACGUAAUCGGUUUAGCCGAUAACUCCGUGGAGGAGUUGGUGCGAGGAGAUGAAUUCUCGGAAUGUGAGUAUUGGAGUUCGCUCAAGAUCGACUAAUUGUCGAGUGGGUGUGCUUCGGAAAUGCUGAAGAGGUCAAAUGCACCAAAAGUGCAUUGCAAUGGAUCGGCGAGAGCAAGUGUGCGAAAAAUCUGCACUUGGCAGAUUUGCUCUCGGGGACCGGUCCCUGGCAGGGAAGGACCGGUCCCCCGUAGCUGGUGGCUGCGGGGUUGCGUGAUGCAACCGGUCCCUGGGCCAGAGGGACCGGUCCCCGUACGCGUAACCAGCGAGAAGAGGAUAUUGGCUAAGUCCUGCGAGAGCAAGCUCUCGGGGACCGGUCUCUGGUAACAGACCGAUCUCCGGGGGACCGGUCCUCUAAGGGCAGACCGGUUCCCGUAGGUGUGUUUAGGCUGAAGGCUCUCGGGGACCGGUCCC
rnacentral:lncRNA from 1 species